UCCCAAGUAUUCCUCGUCCGGAGAAUGGUUCGAUAACACAUCCAAAAUAGCCAUCACCGUGGUAGCUUGAAUUUGUGAAGGGAAGCACAGUAGGAGUAAAACUUCAGGUUUAUUCAUGAAAAACUCCCAAUCUCUUUCAGUUGCCUCUUCGGUUGGCAUAUUCUUUCUAGCAAUCGUUGGCCUGCUGGGAAAGUAACCAGCAUAGGUAUAUUGUCCAAAGUUGACAGAUGCAUGAUGACCUGAGGUUACCCAAGCGAUGGUUGUAACAAUUUGGAUCAAGUCUUGUGGU
rnacentral:lncRNA from 1 species